GCGACGGACACAUUGAUCCAGACAAGCAGCAACAACAACGUGUAAGCUUCGUCCCGAAACUCGGUCAAACAUUUCCGGAAGUACAAGUGCCGUUCAGUCUUCUAGCCGUCCGCAGCGUUCCUACUCGUAUGGAUUCUUCAUUCAUCACUCAAAGCAAUGUCACUGUGGAGUUAUUGUUUGGAGAGCGAGUUUCCACAGCUAGUGGGUCCACGACGAUGACUUCUGUUUUGUUUGAUCAGCCGUUUUACUGCCGUGUUACAGACACUGUUUGGAAACAAUUAAGGUAUGUAAAUAAACAUUUACAAAAUAUUUGUGUGUAAAUAACAAAUUUUCCAACUUAUAUACAAUCUGUGGCUUAUAGUCCGAUGUGGUUAAUAUAUGGUAAAACAUUUUCUUUUUCUAAAAAUUUAGUGGUUGCGGCUUAUAUACCGGUGCGCUCUAAAGUGUUGAAAUACAGUAAUCAUUCAAGUGUAGCGGCCUAAAAAUAAUACGAAAUGUAUAGAUUGUAUCCACAUGGGCCACUCAAGGCUAUAAAAAAAGUGCAUAAACCCUGAGUACCAAAAAUUACUUUACCUUCACUUUGUUAUAACUUGUGUAUGUUUAUGCUUCUAACUGCUUUCAAAGCAAGUUGGCUGGCUCGUAAUUUAUUUCCAUGGCCCAGUAUAAGUGUGACAUCUUUAUUCUUGCUGGUCUGACAAUAAAAUGUAGAGAAAUGUCAUACGGUGAGGCGCAGUCCCCCGCCCCCAUGUUGUAUGUAA